CCUACGGGUGGCAGCAGUGAGGAAUCUUGGUCAAUGGCCGGAAGGCUGAACCAGCCAUGCCGCGUGAAGGUCAGUGCCCUAUGGGCGUUAAACUUCUUUUGUGCGGGAGCAAUAAUGGUCACGUGUGGCCAGACGAGCGUACCGUACGAAUAAGGAUCGGCUAACUCAGUGCCAGCAGCCGCGGUCAUACGGAGGAUCCGAGCGUUAUCCGGAUUUAUUGGGGUUAAAGGGAGCGUAGAGGGGUUGUUAAGUCAGUUGUGAAUGUUUGCGGCUCAACCGUAAAAGUGCAAUUGAUACUGGCAGCCUUGAGUACAGAUGAGGUAGGCGGAAUUCGUGGUGUAGCGGUGAAAUGCUUAGAGAUCACGAAGAACUCCGAUUGCGAAGGCAGCUUACUAAACUGCCACUGACAUUGAUGCGCGAAAGUGUGGGUAUCAAACAGGAUUAGAUACCCCUGUAGUC
rnacentral:rRNA from 1 species